CUUGAAGCUGGAUUUGGGAGUUGCUCAUUCAGGAUGAUGGUGAGAACUUACUGAGAGUGAAGAGACACCUAGAGGAGACUUUAAGUGGUCUGCUAUGACACUUCCCUCUGCCCAGCCAGCUCCAUGUCCUGAGCAGGCAUUGUUGCCGCCUCUGACAUCAUCUGAUCAGCAGCCACCCACCAGCACCUGAUGCAAGCAGCCCUGUCACUGUACUGUCCUUCGAGCAUUGUCAUCAAUAUACUGCCUCCCAUCAACCCUUGCUCACUGUGUCUGCAUCGUGUGUGGCAAACACGGGAGAACAGGGUACUCUACACUCCCUGUGACAAUGGAGAGCCCUUCAUCACCCCAAAUCAACAUGAACUGCAACAACAGCAGAUACUUACGUGUGUUAUUUAGCUCUGUGACCAGCUGAGAUAACUUAUUAAUUCUGUUAGACGAGUUAUGGUUGUCACUGUGUUUGAAUGAACAUGCUCAAAUAAAGAUGCAUGAUA